CACAGCCGCGCCCAAAAAUCAGCCCCCGAAGGUCGGGGUCCCAAGACCCCCCAGCGGAAAAAUGGCCAAAAAACGGGUGGGCUAUAGCCUUGGUGGGCGGCGUGGGCGAAGUUCGUCCGCGGGACUCGGAAUGGCACCAAACUUGGCGGGCGGCCUCUGUGUGCCAAAAAUAGUCCACGGGCACAGCCGCGUCCAAAAAUCAGCCCCCGAAGGUCGGGGUCCGAAGACCUCCCAGCGGAAAAAUUGCCAAAAAACGGGUGGGCUAUAGCCUUGGUGGGGGGCGUGGGCGAACUUCGUCCGCGGGACUCGGAAUGGCCCCUUACUUGGCGGGCGGCCUCCGUGUGCCAAAAAUAGGCCACGGACACAGCCGCGCCCAAAAAUCAGCCCCCGAAGGUCGGGGUCCCAAGUUCCCCCAGCGGAAAAAUGGCCAAAAAACGGGUGGGCUAUAGCCUUGGUGGGCGGCGUGGGCGAAGUUCGUCCGCGGGACUCGGAAUGGCACCAUACUUGGCGGGCGGCCUCUGUGUGCCAAAAAUAGGCCACGGGCACAGCCGCGCCCAAAAAUCAGCCCCCGGAGGUCGGGGUCCCAAGACCCCCCAGUGGAAAAAUAGCCAAAAAACGGGUGGGCUAUAGCCUUGGUGGGGGGCGUGGGCGAACUUCGUCCGCGGGACUCGGAAUGGUCCCUGACUUGGCGGGCGGCCUCCGUGUGCCAAAAAUAGGCCACGGACACAGCCGCGCCCAAAAAUCAGCCCCCGAAGGUCGGGGUCACAAGACCCCCCAGCUGAAAAAUGGCCAAAAAACGGGUGGGCUAUAGCCUUGGUGGGCGGCGUGGGCGAAGUUCGUCCGCGGGACUCGGAAUGGCACCAUACUUGGCGGGCGGCCUCUGUGUGCCAAAAAUAGGCCACGGGCACAGCCGCGCCCAAAAAUGAGCCCCCGGAGGUCGGGGUCCCAAGACCCCCCAGCGGAAAAAUGGCCAAAAAACGGGUGGGCUAUAGCCUUGGUGGUGGGCGUGGGCGAAGUUCGUCCGCGGGACUCGGAAUGGCACCAUACUUGGCGGGCGGCUUCUGUGUGCCAAAAAUAGGCCACGGGCACAGCCGCGCACAAAAAUCAGCCCCCGAAGGUCGGGGUCCCAAGAACCCCCAGUGGAAAAAUGGCCAAAAAACGGGUGGGCUAUAGCCUUGGUGGGGGGCGUGGGCGAACUUCGUCCGCGGGACUCGGAAUGGCCCCUGACUUGGCGGGCGGCCUCCGUGUGCCAAAAAUAGGCCACGGGCACAGCCGCGCCCAAAAAUCAGCCCCCGAAGGUCGGGGUCCCAAGACCCCCCAGCGGAAAAAUGGCCAAAAAACGGGUGGGCUUUAGCCUUGGUGGGGGGCGUGGGCGAACUUCGUCCGCGGGACUCGGAAUGGCCCCUGACUUGGCGGGCGGCCUCCAUGUGCCAAAAAUAGGCCACGGGCACCGCAGCGCCCAAAAAUCAGCUCUCGAAGGUCGGGGUCCCAAGACCCCCCAGCGGAAAAAUGGCCAAAAAACGGGUGGGCUAUAGCCUUGGUGGGGGGCGUGGGCGAAGUUCGUCCGCGGGACUCGGAAUGGCACCAUACUUGGCGGGCGGCCUCCGUGUGCCAAAAAAAGGCCACGGGCACAGCCGCGCCCAAAAAUCAGCCCCCGAAGGUGGGGUCCCAAGACCCCCCCAGUGGAAAAAUGGCCAAAAAAAGGGUGGACUAUAGCCUUGGUGGGGGGCGUGGGCGAACUUCGUCCGCGGGACUCGCAAUGGUCCCUGACUUGGCGGGCGGCCUCCGUGUGCCAAAAAUAGGCCACGGACACAGCCGCGCCCAAAAAUCAGUCCCCGAAGGUCGGGGUCCCAAGACCCCCCAGCGGAAAAAUGGCCAAAAAACGGGUGGGCUAUAGCCUUGGUGGGCGGCGUGGGCGAAGUUCGUCCGCGGGACUCGGAAUGGCCCCAUACUUGGCGGGCGGCCUCUGUGUGCCAAAAUUAGGCCACGGGCACAGCCGCGCCCAAAAAUCAGCCCCCGAAGGUCGGGGUCCCAAGACCCCCCAGCGGAAAAAUGGCCAAAAAACGGGUGGGCUAUAGCCUUGGUGGGGGGCGUGGGCGAAGUUCGUCCGCGGGACUCGGAAUGGCACCAUACUUGGCGGGCGGCCUCUGUGUGCCAAAAAUAGGCCACGGGCACAGCCGCGCACAAAAAUCAGCCCCCGAAGGUCGGGGUCCCAUGACCCCACAGUGGAAAAAUGGCCAAAAAACGGGUGGGCUAUAGCCUUGGUGGGGGGCGUGGGCGAACUUCGUCCGCGGGACUCGGAAUGGCCCCUGACUUGGCCGGCGGCCUCCGUGUGCCAAAAAUAGGCCACGGGCACGGCCGCGCCCAAAAAUCAGCCCCCGAAGGUCGGGGUCCCAAGACCCCCCAGCGGAAAAAUGGCCAAAAAACGGGUGGGCUAUAGCCUUGGUAGGGGGCGUGGGCGAAGUUCGUCCGCGGGACUCGGAAUGGCACCAUACUUGGCGGGCGGCCUCUGUGUGCCAAAAAUAGGCCACGGGCACAGCCGCGCCCAAAAAUCAGCCCCCGGAGGUCGGGGUCCCAAGACCCCCCCGUGGAAAAAUAGCCAAAAAACGGGUGGGCUAUAGCCUUGGUGGGGGGCGUGGGCGAACUUCGUCCGCGGGACUCGGAAUGGUCCCUGACUUGGCGGGCGGCCUCCGUGUGCCAAAAAUAGGCCACGGACACAGCCGCGCCCAAAAAUCAGCCCCCGAAGGUCGGGGUCCCAAGACCCCCCAGCUGAAAAAUGGCCAAAAAACGGGUGGGCUAUAGCCUUGGUGGGCGGCGUGGGCGAAGUUCGUCCGCGGGACUCGGAAUGGCCCCUGACUUGGCGUGCGGCCUCCGUGUGCCAAAAAUAGGCCACGGGCACAGCCGCGCCCAAAAAUCAGCCCCCGAAGGUCGGGGUCCCAAGACCCCCCAGCGG
rnacentral:lncRNA from 1 species